UACGUAGGUGGCAAGCGUUGUCCGGAAUUAUUGGGCGUAAAGGAGCGUCGCAGGCGGUUUGUUAAGUUCAGGGUGAAAGCUCCCGGCUCAACUGGGAGAGGUCCUUGGAUACUGGCAGACUUGAGGAGGGUAGAGGAGAGUGGAAUUCCCGGUGUAGUGGUGAUAUGCGUAGAUAUCGGGAGGAACACCAGUGGCGAAGGCGGCUCUCUGGGCCCUACCUGACGCUGAGACGCGAAAGCGUGGGGAGCGAACCGG
rnacentral:rRNA from 1 species